rnacentral:rRNA from 1 species
GACGGAGGAUGCAAGCGUUAUCCGGAAUGAUUGGGCGUAAAGCGUCUGUAGGUGGCUUCUUAAGUCCGCUGUCAAAUCCCAGGGCUUAGCCCUGGCCAGGCGGUGGAGACUACUAAGCUUGAGUACGGUAGGGGCAGAGGGAAUUUCCGGUGGAGCGGUGAAAUGCGUAGAGAUCGGAAAGAACACCAAGGGCGAAGGCACUCUGCUGGGCCGACACUGACACUGAGAGACGAGAGCUAGGGGAGCAAACAGG